GCCUUUUUGCUUUUGGUUCUUGUGAAAUCUAUCAUGUUAAGUCCGAAAUUCUCUAUGUAACAGUGAUACCUUACUACAGUAAGAGUUUUUAUUUUGGGUUCUGAUGACAGUAUACCAUUAAUCUUGCUCUUUCUUUUCUUUCCUUGUCAUGUUAGGUUUUAUUUGUUCCUGAAGAAGGAUCAACUGAUUUAGAGAGUUGAUCUACACAAUUUAUCUUUUUUUAUUCAAUUGGUUCUGCUGUUUAGUUGGUUAUCACAAAUAUCGAAGUACUGAAGUUCGUUGGUUCUAGUCCCAAAGAUGGUCAUCAAUUUCCUUUUCUACUCAACUGUGAUGAUGACUAGCAUGUAGCAAUCUGUUCUUUCUAUAUACUCUUAUUGUGAUACAAGUUCCUUUUUUAGCUGCUUUUGUCAACUCAUAUUUUUACUUUUCAUUUUGCUUUCAAAAGUUUUCUAUAUUUUCCCUUUGCUGAAACCUUAUUAUUGCUGUGAUUUCAUGAUUUGUCAAUAAAUAGGAUUUAUUUGGCAUGCUAGUCUGGUUUGGCGGCUAAUCCUGUGACAGGGAAGUACAUGAAAUAUUGAAAGGUUCAGAAAGAAUAUGCUUUUCAUCUCUAAUAUUGAUAGUUAACAAUUGGAUUCAUGUGAAUUCUAAGCUAGUCUGUUUAGUGUUCACUUUUGGAUUCUUUAUAUAGGAAUUUUUAAUCAUUGGAUAUAAGGGAAAAGGGAAUGAAGAAUUGUACUGGUGUACUAUUCUUAGUUGUGCGAUAUGAUCUCAUUGAUCUGACCUUAGCUAGAAUAGCUACUUCCAUAAAGGCAUGAAGCAAAUGACCGUAGACUGUAGUUGUCCAAACAGGUAAUCCUAGUUCACUGGUUGAAUUCAGCAGGUCAGAUUGCUGUUGUAUAUUUACUUUAAGUCUUCUUUUCGUGACAUGUUAGUAACUAGUAUGAUGUAUCACAUUGGACUCUGUUGUGAGAUUAAAACAUGUUUGAAGUAAUUAGAAUAUAAUGCAUUUCCACCAUAGCAACACUACAAGCACCGACCUUAGCUCAGUUGGUAGAGCGGAGGACUGUAGUUGGUCAAUGACUCACAGGUUAUCCUUAGGUCACUGGUUCGAAUCCGGUAGGUCGGAUUUUUUCUCUCUAUUUCAUCUAUUUUCCUUAAGACGAUUUUCCUUGAGUAUUAAGUUGACUUUGUCUUUACAUUAUUGAACAUGUUUGAAGCAUAUUUGGAAUACAAUAACUUUCCUUACUCACAUUAGACCUUAGCUCAUUGGUAGGCUGGAGGACUAUAGGUGGUAAAUUUCCCACAAAUUAUCUAUAGAUAGCUGAUUUGAAUCUGGCAGAUGGGAUUUCUGUUGUUUUCAUCCUUUUACUCCUUUCCAUGGCAUGCCCAUUAUCUAGUAUGUCUUGGUCUUUAUCAUAAAAUUGUCAAACAUGUUUGAAGCAACGUUACCAUAUAAUGACUUUCUCUAGUCACAUUGCAAGAACCGACCUUAGCUCAGUUGGUAGAGCGAAGGACUGUAGUAGGUAGAUGACCCACAGAUUAUCCUUAGGUCGCUGGUUCGAAUCCGGCAGGUCGGAUUUCUAGUGUUUUAUUCUUUUGUCUUCUUUCUUUGGCAUGGUUUUUCUCCAGUCUUACAUUGACUUUGUCAUAAAGUUAUUAAACAUUUCGAAGCAAGUCAAGCAACAUUACAAUAUAAUGAAUCUUUACAGUCACAUUGCAAAAACCGACCUUAGCUCAGUUGGUAGAGCGGAGGACUGUAGUUGGUAAAUGACCCACAGAUUAUCCUUAGGUCGCUGGUUCGAAUCCGGCAGGUCGGAUACUUUUUUUUCUACUGAUUUCUUGCACACUCUGAGAUGUGAAAUUCUCCAUGGAACAGUGAUGCAUUCCUAGGGUAAUUUCAUACGUUUGUAUUCUGGCUUUUGAUGACACUACAAUAAGUCAAUAAUUGAUUUAUUUGCUUUCUCAUUUCUAAAUUAGCAUGUUGGAUUGUUUAUAUUGCAGAAGAAGGUUUACCUUUUGAUUGAAAGUAUUGAUCUGGAGUUUAUUUUUAUCUAUCUAAUGCUCUCUAAUCGUUCCAUCAUCUAGUUCAUCGUCACAUCAGUCUCACACACUGUAGGUUUCCAGUUUCAGAAUACCCCGUCUAUCUAGCCCCCUCCCCUCCUCUUCUGUGAAGCUGACUGAGCAUGUAUCAACAUGGUCUUCCUACCUUUCGUUAGUAUUAUUGUGAUAUAAGCUUCUAUUGCGUUACAUUUGUAACUUGAUUUCCUUUUGUCUUAGUUUAGAUGAAGCAGAAUAUCUGGUAUAAGCAAACAAUUCACAAAGGAAGCAUUAGAAUUGACAAAUAUCUGUACUUGCAAACACAGCCCUCAGUACAAGAACAGACAAUGAAAACAAGUCCGGGCCAUUGGAUGUGAUUAUGUGAAUGUCUCAAAUAUUACAUGUCGACAGAAGCUAUAAGCUGUUAUUAUUUCUUUAAUUCUGCCAUCUGCUGUUCAAAAAGAAAAUCAAAAUUAAUGCUCUUAUUGAGAGUCGAAUUCAAGACCUCUCGCUUAAUAAAAGGGUACUCUAACCAACUGUGCUACAAGAACGCUUUGCCUUGCUAGUCAAUGGGUUUUUUCAAUUGAUACUUAACAGUUUUUGCCUAAUUCUGCAUAGGCAGUUCUUUUUAGUUUUUCCUGUUUUCAGCUCGAUCGUAUCCAUGACAGGUAGAGUCAUGUUGUGGUCUUUGAAAUUCGGAGUACCAAACUCCAGUGACUGAACUUGUAGUGUUUAUCAGCUCAUUCAGUAUCUUGCAUGAAGUAUAUCUUUCUCCCUGGUGUCAAAUGGGAACUUUUUUACAAUUAGAAGUUUGAUGAAAUUGAUUCAAUAUUCUAUGAUGAAGUUCAGACUGCAAGGAGCUUUGCAUGACAAGGUUGGUCGCUUGUUUGAAAUGUGAAUCUGGCAGCCUGCAGGUCCCUGUUUUGGCCUCUACAAGACUGCAAGUUACUUAUCCUGCAAUUCUUAUUUAAUUUGAAAUCUUCCCAUGAUGGGGUUUUCCUGUUGAACUACCUCAGAUAAUUUCUCUACUCUCAUGGCUGUGAAAUGAUGUCUUAGUCAACAAUAACAUCAUACUUUUUGACUUGCUAAUAACAAACAUAUAACUAAAUUCAAGAAUAAGUAAUGAAAAUUAUGGCAUCAACAGAAAUUGAUGGCGAUUGGGGGCCCCUUAUAUUAAUGCUUUUGGAGCCUACAGUUUUAGGCUUCAAAGGAUAAAAAUCUAGGCUUGGACAUAGAUGGAUACACUUACAUUAACCUCAUGGAGGUUUGUCUUAUUACUCUUUGUCUUUUUUUUUUUAUUAUUAUUUGGUAAGAUGGAUAACCUUUGGACUGUUCUCGCACAAUUCCCAACCCAGAGUCCCAGGCAGGCACUAGGAAGGAGGGCGAGUUGUAAGGAGAAUUCUCCUCCAAGUGCCGCUCGCCUGAUGGGAUUCUAACCCCUGGAGGUAAUGAGAGUACGUAGUACUCUUGUCGUUGUAUGCACUAUCUUAUUUUAAGUUUGGGAAAUACGUGUCGUAAUUCCCUACAACUCAAUAUUUAUCACCAUCUUGCCUUGUA